rnacentral:misc_RNA from 1 species
UUUCCGUAGGUGAACCUGCGGAAGGAUCAUUAAAGAAUUUAAAGAGUGCACUUCAUUGUGGCUCGACAUCUUCUACCAUUCACCCUAGUGCACUGUAAUACCUUUUUUAUUAGACUCUACAAAGUUAUUGAAUGUAACACUUUUUAAUAAAGAAAUAAAACUUUUAACAACGGAUCUCUUGGCUCUC